rnacentral:rRNA from 1 species
AUUGAACGCUGGCGGCAGGCCUAACACAUGCAAGUCGAGCGGAUGAAGGGAGCUUGCUCCUGGAUUCAGCGGCGGACGGGUGAGUAAUGCCUAGGAAUCUGCCUGGUCGUGGGGGAUAACGUCCGGAAACGGGCGCUAAUACCGCAUACGUCCUGAGGGAGGAAGUGGGGGAUCUUCGGACCUCACGCUAUCAGAUGAGCCUAGGUCGGAUUAGCUAGUUGGUGGGGUAAAGGCCUACCAAGGCGACGAUCCGUAACUGGUCUGAGAGGAUGAUCAGUCACACUGGAACUGAGACACGGUCCAGACUCCUACGGGAGGCAGCAGUGGGGAAUAUUGGACAAUGGGCGAAAGCCUGAUCCAGCCAUGCCGCGUGUGUGAAGAAGGUCUUCGGAUUGUAAAGCACUUUAAGUUGGGAGGAAGGGCAGUAAGUUAAUACCUUGCUGUUUUGACGUUACCAACAGAAUAAGCACCGGCUAACUUCGUG